ensembl:lncRNA
GGGAGCUCACGUCCAGAGAGUUAUAUAGGUUGUCCCAUUAUGAUGUAGUGCCUGCAACACUGGCCUUGGGAGUCAGAAAGACAUAGGUUCAAAUCAUGCCUCUGACAUUUAGCAGCUAGUUCUGUUCAGUUAAUGCCACUGAACCUCAGUUUCUUCCUUUGUAAUGUAUAUAUAAGAACAGUAAUCUUAGAGGGUGGUUGUUAGGGUCAGUUGGGAUGGUGUAUGUAAAGGGUUUAUAGCCUUAAGACGUUAUCUGUCCAGUUCUGAGUCAUAAUUGUGAAUUCAUCCUACCAAGGUCACACAUAGCUAGCAGAUGGCAGAGCCAAAAGUAGAGCCUCACUGGCUUCCCUGCCUUCAAGCCCAACACUCUUGUAUUAUUGUACCUAGUGACCAGGGCUGGUUUCUUUGUCCACAAAACAGGAGCUAAUCAUGAUGACUUUGCUAUGGCAGUGAAGUAUGAAAAAACUAAUACCGCCCCCACCAAAUCCACUAACAUUAAGUACUAUCCAAGUUACUAAAAAAAAUGGAAGAGACAGAAAUAAUAUAAAUAAAUCCCAACAGAGAGAAGAGAACAAAAGCCGCUUCUUGUCCCAUGUCCACUAAGGGAGCAUUUCCUAGUCCCUUCUCCCUGAGCCUCAGGAAAAUAGGACUAGAGCUGGAAUCCUUCCCAACCUAAGCCCUAGAUAAACAAAGGCCAGGCGAGCUCUCAGAAGUGAACCCUGGUAACCAGAGGACACUGAGCUAUAACAUUCCAAAUGAGAGUACAAAGGGGGGCAAGCCCAGUCUUAGGGAAGACAGAGGGCUGGUACCUGCCCAUCUGCCUGCUUCUCUUCCCCCCCCCCCUUAAACUGUUGCUAGAAAACAGAUGGCUGCAGGAGCCCGAAUUUUAAAUUUAUGAAUGGAAAUUUGCACAGAUGUUAGUAAUCAAGAUGCAUGGAUCCAGUGUCGAAGACUGGGAGGGACAACAAAGGAAACAUUUUGAAAGAACAAAGAGGACAAAACUACUAAGGGUCUACAUAGAUGCAUCCGGCCAAAAUCAGGAAGAAGUUCUUGUUGCCAAUGGAAGAGUUAUCUUGGAAGCUGAAGUCCUCACCUGGCUCCAAUCUACCUUUCUAAGCCUAGUAAGGUUAUCAUUAUAUAUUUUAUAAGAGAUCUCAAAAGUCUUAGUAAAGUUUUAAAUCGUUAAGAAAGAAUUGGAAAAAUCUCCUUUCAAGGUGCCUUUUCCCAGAGAUAUUGUUCCCAGACUCCCAAGGCUUCAUCUCUGUGUAUUACCUAGUGCUUGACUCUUUGUAGUGGCCUUGUCCUGAUUAAAGACUUGUUCUAAGGGGGGGGGGGGGGAAUUCAGCUGCACUAAAACUUUUGGGACACCCCAUCUCUUACUCUCCCUUUACACUCUCCAGUUCAGUCAAACUGGCCUUCUUUCUGUUUUUCACACAAGACAAUCAAUUCCAUCUUUUCGGAUCCUUCUGGUGAUCUUCCCUGAUGCUAGGGCCUUCCCACAGUCUUGAUGUUCUCAUCAUUUUGUAAGUUUCUCCAUACAAGCUCUUUGAGGGCAAGACCCAUUUCAUUUUUUGCCUUUAAAUCCCCAGUGUUGGCACUGUAGGUCCUUUAACAAAAUACUUGCUUGCUCAUUAAUCCAUGUUUUACUAACAGUCUCAUUAGCUAGGAUGCUUAACAUGGAGACUAAACUAAUGAAUCUUUCUAAAGGAAUGAAUCAUCCUGACUCUUGGGGGCUGGAAGUCUGGGUUGAAUUGUUGGCUUUUUAGCUAACUACAGGAAACCUGGCUGCUACCCAAGGCACUAUGUGGACUUGAGCAGAGCCACCCAGCUGAAGAAUGCUAGUGGCAAGGGAGUGAGAGCAAUGGGUGCGGGGGAGCCCUUAGAAGACCAGAACUGAUCCCCAUGAAAUAAUCUAGAUCUGGGGAAAGAUGAAGCUGGAAUCCACCGGGAUUUUGUUGCUGGACUUGAAAUCAGGUAAAGUCAAUAUUGACUCACAUUCACCAGCUCUGGAUAAGUCACUAUUUUUCUCAGCACCUAUUUCCUCAUCUGCAAAAUGGGGAUAAAAUCUACUUCAGAGCCAUUUUGAGGCUAAAAUGAGAAUGUAGGUGUGUAAAGUCCUUUGUAAACCAUAACAUUUUAUAUGAAGGUUAUCUGUCAUUUCCAGCAUCAGAAACAGAGUUUUAGUGUCCCUUUCAAAAAAACUGCACUGAGGGGACAGCUGGGUAGCUCGGUGAAUUGAGAGUCAGUUCUAGAGACAGGAGGAGGUUGUGGGUUCAAAUCUGGCCUCAGAGACUUCCCAGCUGUGUGACCCUGGGCAAGUCACUUGACCCCCAUUGCCUACCUUUACAGCUAUUCUGCCUUGGAGCCAAUUCACAGUAAGGGUUUUAAAAAAUACUGCACUGCAAGACUCCUCCUAAUCCUACAGAGGCAUCUGAGUCUCCAGUCUUACAGCGAUACAUAUCAUAGAAUGUUAGUUAGUUGGAAGCCUCAUUGGGGACCAUGAAGUCUGGCCCCUUAUUACUGGGGCUGUAGAAGUCUGAGUGGAAAAACUCUUCAAUACAUCUUAGGAUCUCUACCUAGGGUCUCACUGCCAAUCACUUAAAACUUUUAAACACACAUAAAAAGGGCAUUUAGAGUUAUUUUUAAUGAAGUAAUUAGUGCAUAUAUUCCAGAGAGAGCAUUGGCAUUUUUCUGGGAUCAACACAGGUAGACAUGGGAAUAAUUAUUUAUUCAGGCAUGUGAAUGAUGGGCUCCCAUAUGUUACUUUGGGGCCAGUAGUGUAGUAAAUUAUUCAUUUUUUACUGCAUUAAUGUCCUCAAUCCAAAGACAUCAUGAACAGAUAUCAAAAAGGACAGCAUAUAGAAGGGUUGCAAUCUGCACUAGAAGAGAGAGGAUGCGCACCAAUCCAUUUAGGUUUCUGAAAUCUUAAGAUCACAGAUGUGGAGGUGGAAGGAACCUUAGAAACCAAUGAGUCUCGUUGCCUUAUUUUAUGGAUGAGAAAGUCAAGGUCUAGGGAAAUCAAGUCAUUUGUCAAAGGUCCCGAAGGCAGUGCCCCAUCUCCUGUUACCUGGCUCACUUAUGAAUCAGAUUCUUUCCCUGGUGGCUAAAAAGUGCGAAUGCUCCAAGCCUACGUCAAGUCAAACAUCUACAUGUCUUCUCUGUGCAAGGCCAUGGCUGUGUUGGGCAAAGAGACAAAGGGAAGACUCUUGCCUCAAGUUUGCAUUCUUUGGAAAGAGUUCUUCACGUACACCCAUGAAGCACAAGCCCUGUGCUUCAAGUGGUGAGGAAAUACUAGCCAACGUCAAGUGAUAACGGUCAGGGAAGACUUCACAGAGGAGGUAGCCCCCUGAUAAGUCUUUAGGAUCAGUUAAAUAAGCAUUUUUAAGCAUUUACUGUGUGCCAGGGACUGUGGGUGAAGACAAAAAAUAGACUAGAAUUAGCGGACUCAACCCUCAAGGAGCAUGUUCUUUUUUCCUGACUCAACCAGACAAGACUAAUUCACAGGUAGAGAGUAACUCCUAAAGAUAUGGGCCACUAAGUAUUUACUCAAGCCUUACCAGGAGUUUUUAUUUUUAAUAGACUACAGGCCCUAAAGCUUUUUGGAACUAAGCUUCGUUUUAUUAGACAAAUCAUAUGUUUGAUCCCCAGUAAUCUACUCUUUAAUGGCAGAUGGAACCUUUAAAAAAUAAAAACAAAACUCAUCCUGUCUCCA